UACGAAGGGUGCAAGCGUUACUCGGAAUUACUGGGCGUAAAGCGUGCGUAGGUGGUGAGUUAAGUCUGAUGUGAAAUCCCCGGGCUCAACCUGGGAAUGGCAUUGGAUACUGGCUCGCUAGAGUGCGGUGGAGGGUGGUGGAAUUCCCGGUGUAGCAGUGAAAUGCGUAGAGAUCGGGAGGAACACCUGCGGCGAAAGCGGCUCACUGGACCAUAACUGACGCUGAUGCACGAAAGCUAGGGGAGCAAACAGG
rnacentral:rRNA from 1 species